rnacentral:rRNA from 1 species
UACAGAGGGGGCAAGCGUUAUUCGGAAUUAUUGGGCGUAAAGGGCGCGUAGGCGGCUUUGCAAGUGACGGGUGAAAUCCCUCGGCUUAACCGAGGAACUGCCUGUCAGACUGUGAGGCUUGAGACCGGGAGAGGUGAGUGGAAUUCCCAGUGUAGCGGUGAAAUGCGUAGAUAUUGGGAGGAACACCAGUGGCGAAGGCGGCUCACUGGACUGGUACUGACGCUGAGGCGCGAAAGCGUGGGGAGCAAACGGG